UGGGGAAUUUUGGACAAUGGGCGCAAGCCUGAUCCAGCCAUGCCGCGUGCAGGAUGAAGGCCUUCGGGUUGUAAACUGCUUUUGUACGGAACGAAAGGUUCUGCCCUAAUACGGUGGGAAUAUGACGGUACCGUAAGAAUAAGCACCGGCUAACUACGUGCCAGCAGCCGCGGUAAUACGUAGGGUGCGAGCGUUAAUCGGAAUUACUGGGCGUAAAGCGUGCGCAGGCGGUUAUGUAAGACAGAUGUGAAAUCCCCGGGCUCAACCUGGGAACUGCAUUAGUGACUGCAUAGCUGGAGUACGGCAGAGGGGGAUGGAAUUCCGCGUGUAGCAGUGAAAUGCGUAGAUAUGCGGAGGAACACCGAUGGCGAAGGCAAUCCCCUGGGCCUGUACUGACGCUCAUGCACGAAAGCGUGGGGAGCAAACAGG
rnacentral:rRNA from 2 species